CAUCCGGAAGGCGGGAGGGAGAUGCACGACGGCCGCCUCCGGGACCCCCUCCGCGGCCGCGUCCCUGUCCCCGUCUCGGAAAGAAUUCUCAGAUCUGCGGGGACCCGACGCGGGCGCCAGCGCCGACGGACCUCGCGCCCCGUCGCCUCCACCUAGGGGCGUGGAGUGGGCCGGGGUCACGAGGCCACUCGCAGAGCUCUCCCGCGCGGGUCCGGCGACAGCCCGCGGGACGGUGACCUGAUUCAGCAGGGCCUGGGCUUGGCAGGCCUUGAUCCAACCACAGUCACCGCGAUGGUGCCACGUAGUGAAACAGUGCCCCACCCUCGUAGACGGCGUGCCCACGGGGUCCAGUUUCCCAAUUAGAGACCGCUGUCCUCAGAUCCGUGGAGAGGUCAGAUACGCACAGAAACCCCCAAAGGCAGAAGCAAAUUUGUUUCAGAAUCUGGUCUGUGGUUUACAAACAAGUUCAGAGAGCUACAGACGGAGCCGGUUUCCUGCACAUUAUAAAUGGAAAUCUUUAUUUUUUUUCCCUCUAUUUUUAAAAAAUCCUGUGGCAAGGUCAUUAAUCAUAUUAUCCAUUAUACCAGAAACAAAUGGAUUUGUCACUUCUGCACAGAAGCUGAGGUUGAUUCUGAAAACAAAGUGUAUCAAAAUAAAUGAAAUUAUUAUGAUAAUAUAAAAGAGACCGCAGUGAUUAAUCUCCAGAAACCAAAUUGUGACCUGCUUUGCACUUCAAACAAUAGCUUCUGCUAUGUAAAUAGUUGUGGAGUUUUCAAGGAUAAGGUUGCUAAAUUACAAGAAAAGUUCCAUACGUGAAAAAUCUCUUCGUGGAUAAACAUUAGUGACAGGAAAUCUGGUCUACACAACACCCAAGGCACAGGACAGUGGAAGUGAUGACGGCUCAGGAACCAUUUCAACUCCCUAUUUGGUUGGCCUUCUUUGAGAUUCUCUCCAGAUCCACGGCCCUUCCACCCCGAGUCCCUGCAUCCAGAGCGGCAGCGAGUGCCUCUCUAAAGGUCAGUGCUGAAUCCCAUUUCUGCUGGGCGAGCUCGCCUUCCUCGCGCGCGUGUGCGCGCACGGCAAACACCGCCGUCCUUUGUGCUCAGAGAGAAUCUGCACAGAGAACUGGUUACACUCUCUCUCUAAGUCUGUUUGACCAAACGUGUAAUUGCCCUCGUGAGUUUAUAUCUGUCUUUUCAUAAUGUUCAAUGCUCC
rnacentral:lncRNA from 9 species